GACGAACGCUGGCGGCGUGCUUAACACAUGCAAGUCGAACGGAAAGGCCCUGCUUUUGUGGGGUGCUCGAGUGGCGAACGGGUGAGUAACACGUGAGUAACCUGCCCUUGACUUUGGGAUAACUUCAGGAAACUGGGGCGAAUACCGGAUAGGAGCUCCUGCUGCAUGGUGGGGGUUGGAAAGUUUCGGCGGUUGGGGAUGGACUCGCGGCUUAUCAGCUUGUUGGUGGGGUAGUGGCUUACCAAGGCUUUGACGGGUAGCCGGCCUGAGAGGGUGACCGGCCACAUUGGGACUGAGAUACGGCCCAGACUCCUACGGGAGGCAGUAGUCGGGAAUAUUGCACAAUGGGCGGAAGCCUGAUGUAGCAACGCCGCGUGCGGGAUGCCGGCCUUCGGGUUGUAAACCGCUCUCGCCUGUGACGAAGCGUGAGUGACGGUAAUGGGUAAAGAAGCACCGGCUAACUACGUG
rnacentral:rRNA from 1 species